CCUAUACACAGCCAUUGUGGAUCGUGAACUAAUAAUUAUAGAGUCAUAUUAUGAUAUUUUUGUAGCUGAGAUCGACAUUACGUACCUUUGAAUAAUGUUUACCAUUUGUUGAUAAUUUUCUUGUGGUUUUCUCAUUGAGUCAAAGAUUAUCAACCGGUUCUUGGGAAUUUCAAUAACCAUGAGUAUCCAGUGAAAGCUGUUUACACACAUAUAUAUAUAUAGUCAGUCCUAUAAUAUAAAAUAAAAUAUGCAUGCACUUAAUAACUAUAUAACUCACUCGAAGUUGAAGGAGAAGAGUAUUUUUUGUUUUUCUUUUUGGUUCACAAAGAACCUCAUAAGAUUGGUGCAGACUUCUGUCUCAUGAUCUGCUGUUCACAUUGCCUGCGGAGCCUUGAAAACAAUAUAAGGGUCAACGAACCCAAUACUAUUGUCAUUUCUCAUUCUGAGCUCUCUCAUUUGGUGCCUGCAUAUAUACAUACAAAUCCUAAGUGUGUAAGGAUUAUAUACAUGUAACUAAAGAAGUUAGAAGUAUAAUAAAAAGAAAAAAAAUACUUACAGACAAAAGCAGCUGACAAUUGAUUUGUCAAGAGCGUCGAGGUGACAUAAUUGGUGCAAUUCUUCGAACUGCACAUAUAUGAGGUCAUCUCCACGGAAGUAGUGAUGUUGUCUAAUACGAACAGAAAUCCAAUUCUCUCCCUUUUUAGACGCC
rnacentral:lncRNA from 1 species